GAUUUGAACGCGGCGUUCGACAUUACGCUGAAAUAACAGUAACCGUGGCGUGUGCGUAUGUACGGCUGCUUUAGUUACGCUUUCAGUAUUGGACUCGGUGCAUUGAUGCUUUUGCCUCAAAUUUUUUUGUUCGGUUAUUUAAGCGUGUUGCAUUGUUAUUGCCAGCGUUGGAGCAUCGUGUAACCGAGUGAGUGAGCCACUCGUAUACGCUUACUUUGCUAACCGUGUGGCAAGGAUCUCAACUCGUGCGUGUUGGCCAUCAACGACAUCAUCAUUUGCAUCCUUGGCUUGGCGGCAGAACAAUUCAGUCAUCAUUCAGCAGUGGCGGCGAAUCGACGCGCCUUCUCUUAGCCAUGACUUAUCGGCCAACGCUCGCCAACGUAAGGUUCGAAGGCUAAUAGACGCGAGUGCAGUGCCUAAAGCGUAAAAAGAUAAUCGGGUAACAAUACAAAGAUUUUUUGCAUAACAAAUGCGGAUGCAGUGAAUACGAAAUCCUUGAGUCGCUAGGCCGCUGCCGGUCGUUUUUGUUCGCGUGUGAGUGUGUUGUGUUGUUUUUGUGCGCUAUUAACAAAUCCGUUUGAAACUGGAAUUUCAUGUUUCAAGGAUAGUUUCAGAAUGAUGUCAUGCGGAUAUUCUGACAGUGAGAAAAAUAUUUAUGACGACGUUGAAUGAGUAAAAUUGAGCAAUGGUAUGACGACAAUAAGUGGCAAAGAAGUGAAAGAUCAAAAAGAAAAAAAAGAAAAAGCAAUAUGAACAAAAUAAAUAUUUUGGAAAAAAUUAAGGGAAUGAGAAACUUGAAAAUGCAACAACAAAGAAUGAUGUAAAAUAGAAAAAAAAUAUAUAAUAAAAAAGACAAACAAAUUUUAAUAGAAUAAGGUGAAAAAAUUAAGAUAAAAAUACAGGUAAAAAAAUAUUGUAAUAAAAAAAUAAUAAUAAAAAUAAUAAAACAACAAAUUGUACAAUAAUCAAAUAAAGAAAACAAAGUAAAAUUAAACUAAGUGAAAUAAAACAAAUCAAAAUAAAAUGAAAUGAAAUAAAACAACAUAAGAAAUGUAAAUGAAACAAAAUAAAACAAAAUAAAAUUAAAUAAACUAAAAUAAAAUACAAUAAUUUGACACAUUAAAAAAAUUAAAAAAUUAUAACAAAUACAAAUAAACCGAAUGAAAAAAGUUAGUAAAUAAAAUCGAAUAAAAAACAAAUGAGUCAAAGUGGAAUAAAAUAAAAUAACAUAAAAUCAAUUAAAUAAAA